rnacentral:lncRNA from 1 species
AGGUUGAUUAUGCUAAGACAUCUAGACUCUUUUCUAAUGUGUUGACUCUUUUCUCAAGAUCUAAACUUGGUUGAUCAUUCAAUGUUUGGUUGGGCCUUAGAUAGGGUUGAUAAAAAUUAUGGGCUCCUAAUAUUGCAUCUUAUGAUCAUAUAAAAUUGAGAUGACUUUCCAACCCUAGGUUAUAGAUUGGUGCAUAAGGUUCAUUUAUGUAGCUUUCAUUGAAUGCACUCUCCUGUAUGAACUCAGUUUGGAUUGGGUUCAUCAAAUAAAGACACUCCUCCAUAAC